GGCACGUGGAUGCGAGUUGCUAGUAAAUCAGAUUUCAUAAAAUUUCGGUUCUGAGGGAGCUAUCACAGCCAGCUCGUAUUACAAACUUGCGGUGAUGUUAAAUCAUCACCUCCAGUUUCAUUUUUUACCGCCGGAUUAUGUAAAAAACCAGCGGUGAUGAGUUAUUACCGUCGGAUUGCCGAAAACCGGCAGUAAUGGGGCGGUUGGGAUGGCUCUUUC
rnacentral:lncRNA from 1 species